rnacentral:tRNA from 2 species
GCGCGGGUGGCGGAAUUGGCAGACGCACUAGCUUGAGGUGCUAGCGAAGUAAAAUUCGUGGGGGUUCGAGUCCCCCCCCGCGCACCA